rnacentral:lncRNA from 1 species
GGAAGAGAAUGGAAAGGAAAAGUUGGGAAUUCAUGGAAGAAGAAAAAAAGGAUACAUGGAUGCUGAACCGUCAGCUACUUCAAAGUCUACACGCUUGGCAAUGAAAACUUGAUCCUACUCAGAAGAUUGGGAACCAUCGAGUUUUGAGGCAGCUAGCUUGUCCAAAAACCAGACCAACUUCCCUUUUGUUGGCUGAACCAUCCGAGCAGGCAGAGGUGCAGAGUCAGGUCCCACAUCAUCAAUUGCCAAGUGUACUGCCUCUGCUUUGUCCUCACCUGCUACAACUACUGCCACAUUUGAGGCUGAGUUUAUGACAGGCAGAGUGAAAGUGAUCCUUUCAGGUGGUGGCUUGGGGGAAUCAGUAAUAAAGGUAACCCAUUCAUCCUUUGCAUCAAGUACAGGGUGGUUAGGAAACAGGGAGGCAACAUGACCAUCAGGGCCCAUACAA